AUACUUACCUGGACGGGGUCGACGGCCGAUCAAGAAGGGCCGUGGCCUAGAUCAAUGGCUCACAUUGCACUUGGUGAGCGCGUUGGUUUACCAUCUCCCCAAGUGGGAGAGUGGACGUCAUAAUUUGUGAUAGAGGGGGUACGCGUUCGCGCGGCCCCUGC
rnacentral:snRNA from 1 species